UUUCUCUAGAGAGGGAAUCUCUCUGUCUACUCUUUUUUCUUUAUAUGGCUCAUCCAUUUUCUUUUGCCAUCUCUCGUGUGGCCAUACCCUGGCGAGAGACAAUCGUCCUUCUCCCGUCCAAAGCAGUGGAUUUUUUCUCUCUACUUUCUAGGUGGAUUUCAGAAUUUCUUGAAGAUUAUUUUCUGCAUGCACUGGAAAAGAGUGGAUGAUUUGGUUUGGAUGUCCUCCCUUUUAACCAGCCUCACCCUUUUAUGCCUAUUGGAGCUUCAAAUGGCACAUUGUUUUGUCAACGAGCUCUCCUCCACAGCUCUUUAGGCGUUUCUUCUGGCCUUGCUCUUCCUGGGAUUAUGUGGUCCUUUUGAGGUUGGUUUUCUUUUUGGAUGGGAAGGGUUUGAUACUCUGAAGGUAUUUGCUUCUUAUUUUGACUACCGACAAAACUUUUGACUGUAUCAUGCAACAUAAUCCAAAAGAUCUUCCUACCUCCUGCAAGCUAGGAUUUGGAUGUUGAGCUGGACUUCAGCCUACGUGACUUAGGCUUAGUUUUUUAGGUUUCUGUAAUUUUAGCAUGUUUUCUUGUGAUGAUCAUGAGUGUAAAUUCUAUAGGUUUUAAGUCUUUAAUAUAACAAUUUUAUUUUCUGACAAA